rnacentral:rRNA from 1 species
UACGGAGGGUGCGAGCGUUGUCCGGAAUCAUUGGGCGUAAAGGGCGCGUAGGUGGCCUGGUAAGUCUGUGGUGAAAGCGCGGGCUCAACCCGCGUCUGCCGUGGAUACUGCUAGGCUGGAGCACUGUAGAGGCAGGCGGAAUUCCGGGUGUAGCGGUGGAAUGCGUAGAGAUCCGGAAGAACACCAGGGGCGAAGGCGGCCUGCUGGGCAGUUGCUGACACUGAUGCGCGACAGCGUGGGGAGCAAACAGG